UGGGGAAUUUUUGGACAAUGGGCGAAAGCCUGAUCCAGCAAUGCCGCGUGUGUGAAGAAGGCCUUCGGGUUGUAAAGCACUUUUGUCCGGAAAGAAAUCCUUGGCUCUAAUACAGUCGGGGGAUGACGGUACCGGAAGAAUAAGCACCGGCUAACUACGUGCCAGCAGCCGCGGUAAUACGUAGGGUGCAAGCGUUAAUCGGAAUUACUGGGCGUAAAGCGUGCGCAGGCGGUUUGCUAAGACCGAUGUGAAAUCCCCGGGCUCAACCUGGGAACUGCAUUGGUGACUGGCAGGCUAGAGUAUGGCAGAGGGGGGUAGAAUUCCACGUGUAGCAGUGAAAUGCGUAGAGAUGUGGAGGAAUACCGAUGGCGAAGGCAGCCCCCCUGGGCCAAUACUGACGCUCAUGCACGAAAGCGUGGGGAGCAAACAGGAUUAGAUACCCUGGUAGUCCACGCCCUAAACGAUGUCAACUAGUUGUUGGGGAUUCAUUUCCUUAGUAACGUAGCUAACGCGUGAAGUUGACCGCCUGGGGAGUACGGUCGCAAGAUUAAAACUCAAAGGAAUUGACGGGGUCAUAGCUGUUUCCU
rnacentral:rRNA from 1 species